UAAUACGUAGGGUGCAAGCGUUGUCCGGAUUUAUUGGGCGUAAAGAGCUCGUAGGCGGUUUGUUACGUCGGGUGUGAAAACUCGGGGCUUAACCCCGAGCCUGCAUCCGAUACGGGCAGACUUGAGUGUGGUAGGGGAGACUGGAAUUCCUGGUGUAGCGGUGAAAUGCGCAGAUAUCAGGAGGAACACCGGUGGCGAAGGCGGGUCUCUGGGCCAUAACUGACGCUGAGGAGCGAAAGCGUGGGGAGCAAACAGG
rnacentral:rRNA from 1 species